AGUCCCAUAGCUCAGUGGUCAGAGCGUUGUACUUAUGAUGCAAGGGUCCCGAGUUCAAUCCUCGGUGGGACUA
rnacentral:tRNA from 6 species